rnacentral:rRNA from 1 species
UACGAGAGGUCCAAGCGUUAGUCGGAAUCACUGGGCUUAAAGGGCGCGUAGGCGGGCCUGUAAGUGUUCUGUGAAAUCCCAUGGCUCAACCAUGGAAUCGCAGGGCAUACUGCGGGCCUCGAGGAAGCUAGAGGCCGGUGGAACGAUAGGUGGAGCGGUGGAAUGCGUAGAUAUCUAUCGGAACGCCAAAGGUGAAGACAGCCGGCUGGGGCUUUCCUGACGCUGAGGCACGAAAGCGUGGGGAUCAAACAGG